GAGUGAAGCGGCAAGAGCUCAAAUUUGAAAUCUGGCCCCCCACGGGGUCCGAGUUGUAAUUUGCAGAGGGUGCUUUGGCGUUGGCUGUGGUCUAAGUUCCUUGGAACAGGACGUCGCAGAGGGUGAGAAUCCCGUAUGUGGCCGCCAGCCUCCGCCGUGUAAAGCCCCUUCGACGAGUCGAGUUGUUUGGGAAUGCAGCUCUAAAUGGGAGGUAAAUUUCUUCUAAAGCUAAAUACUGGCCAGAGACCGAUAGCGCACAAGUAGAGUGAUCGAAAGAUGAAAAGCACUUUGGAAAGAGAGUCAAAAAGCACGUGAAAUUGUUGAAAGGGAAGCGCUUGCAGCCAGACUUGCCCGUAGUUGCUCAUCCGGGCUCUUGCCCGGUGCACUCUUCUAUGGGCAGGCCAGCAUCAGUCCGGGCGGUUGGAUAAAUGCCUGCUAAAUGUACCUCUCCUCGGGGAGGACUUAUAGGGCAGGCGGCAUACAACCAGCCUGGACUGAGGUCCGCGCAUCUGCUAG
rnacentral:rRNA from 1 species